GACGAACGCUGGUGGCGUGCUUAACACAUGCAAGUCGAACGGAAAGGCCCUGCUUUUGUGGGGUGCUCGAGUGGCGAACGGGUGAGUAACACGUGAGUAACCUGCCCUUGACUUUGGGAUAACUUCAGGAAACUGGGGCUAAUACCGGAUAGGAGCUCCUGCUGCAUGGUGGGGGUUGGAAAGUUUCGGCGGUUGGGGAUGGACUCGCGGCUUAUCAGCUUGUUGGUGGGUAGUGGCUUACCAAGGCUUUGACGGGUAGCCGGCCUGAGAGGGUGACCGGCCACAUUGGGACUGAGAUACGGCCCAGACUCCUACGGGAGGCAGCAGUGGGGAAUAUUGCACAAUGGGCGGAAGCCUGAUGCAGCAACGCCGCGUGCGGGAUGACGGCCUUCGGGUUGUAAACCGCUUUCGCCUGUGACGAAGCGUGAGUGACGGUAAUGGGUAAAGAAGCACCGGCUAACUACGUG
rnacentral:rRNA from 1 species